CCUGUAGGUUACCUGUAUGUUACCUGUACAGGUAAUCCUCUAUCUCAACUGUAGGUUACCUGUAUGUUACCUGUACAGGUAAUCAUCUAUCUCACCUGUAGGUUACCUGUAUGUUACCUGUACAAAUAAUCCUCUAUCUCACCUGUAAGUUACCUAUUUCAUUUUUGAAUUACCUCAACAAGAAAAUUAAACUGUUGUGACUAUUCAGAUAUUUUAAUUUGUAAUGUCCUACGACCUCUUGAGAAGGCCAAGACCAAUUAUGUAAAUUACAUAUAGCUACAUUUGUAUAUAUUUUUGUGUCCAAGCAAAAAUGCCAUGGAUAUUAAUUUGCUCUCUAACUUUAGUGUUUAUGUGCAGAAAAUUCUUCAUAUACAAAAGUUUGUUAAUUAUACAAGUGUGUGUAAUUCUAUGUGAAAAUUGUGUAAGUCUAAGUGCAUAUUAAGUGUUUGAUUAGUUUUUGUGUACAAAUAUAUGGUAAUUGUACAAAUGUUUGUAAUUCUUAGUCAACAAGUGUUUGUGUAACUCUUUAUGUUCAAGUACUUGUGAAAUUCUUUGUGUAUUAAGUGCUUGGUUGAUUCUCAGCCUACAAGUGUUUGCGAAAUUCUUAUUGUUUAUGUAACUCUUAGUGUACAAAUGUUUUGUAAGUGUACAAAUGUUUUGUAAUUGUACAAAUUCUUAGGGUACAAGAAUAGCUGCUGUGUAAUUCUGAAGCGUAUAGGUGUUAGAUGAGUUCUUAUAGCAUGCUAGUGUUAAGGUAAUAUUUUGUGUGAAAGUGUUUGAGGAUUUAUUAGGGUACUUGUAUUUGAAAUUCUUAUUAAAAGUUGUAUUGAAUGUUUGUGAAAAUGUGGACACAAGUGGCUGAUUUUAAACUGGCAUUCCUUAUCCCAACAAAUUUAUUUUUUAAAAUGUCGAGUGUAAUUAUUGGAAUGUUAUAGCGAGUGUAUGAAACAUUUGUUAACUUUAAAACUGGUGUUGGUGGUUACUUAUAAAGCUGAUAGCUGUGGUAGUGUAAUGAUGGCUUAUAUGAUAAGGAUAUAUCACUUACUUUGUAAGUAAAAAGUGAAGUGCAUGUUUUCAUGAAAGAUAGGUUAACAAUAUAAAUCUCUUUGGUAAUCAAACUUUAACCUUAGUUACCAUAACUUAUAACACAAGUCUGAACGGACUCGGUUACUAAGUAACUAUGUACAUAUCAAUAGCUAUAUUACUGUGGUAUAUGUGUGUAAUUAUCAGCUGGUAAUUAACCAUCUUCUAUAUUUUGUUAAAUUGUUAAUAAUAUAUUUUUGUUAGAUUAUUAUAUUUUGAUUGUUUUCA